AAGAAACUACGGGCAGAGCUGCUAACUCUCACAAAUUUAUAAAAUUUAGUUUCUGU
rnacentral:tRNA from 1 species